GCCGGAAAAGUCAAUAAAGUCGCCGGAAAAAACUGAAAGUUGUCGGAAUCGAACGAAAAAGGAUGGGUAGGGUCGGAAUUGAAGGCCGACCAAACUGUCCUGAAGGAGAGAACUGAAAAACUGGCCGGAACUGCCCUCACGCGCCGAGCGUAUUGCCGGCGCGUGGGGGCGCGUAGAUGAUGGUUUUCCGGUGAUUUUUUCUGGGGUUGGGCGGAAUUCUCUUCCGA
rnacentral:lncRNA from 1 species